CUUUGAGAGUUUGAUCCUAGCUCAGGAUGAACGCUGGCGGCGUGGAUAAGGCAUGCAAGUCGAACGAUACGGCUAAGAUUACAUCAAGGCCGUAUAGUGGCGAACGAGUCAGUAACACCCUGGUAACCUACCACCAAGACGGGAAUAACCCCGCGAAAGCGGGGCUAAUACCCGAUGUGGCCAAGUUGUCGUCAGACAAUUUGGUUAAAGGAGCAAUCCGCUUGGUGAUGGGCCUAGGUCCGAUCAGCUAGUUGGUGAGGUAAUGGCUCACCAAGGCUACGACCGGUAGGGGGGCUGAGAGGCUGUUCCCCGACGACGAGACUGAGACACGGCUCGUACACCUACGGGUGGCAGCAGUCGAGAAUAUUCCGCAAUGGGCGAAAGCCUGACGGAGCGACGCCGCGUGGAGGAUGAAGGCCUUCGGGUCGUAAACUCCUUUUCCGCGGGAAGAAGCGCAAGCUGACGGUACCGCGGGAAUAAGAGGUUGCUAACUCUGUGCCAGCAGCAGCGGUAAUACAGAGACCUCGAGCGUUAUCCGGAUUUACUGGGCGUAAAGGGCGCGUAGGAGGCUUGGUGCGUCUUCUGUAAAAUCUCACCGCUCAACGGUGAGCCCGCAGAAGAUACGACCAGGCUAGAGGGUGCCAGAGGCAAGUGGAACGCACGGUGUAGGGGUGAAAUCCGUUGAUAUCGUGCGGAACACCAGAGGCGAAGGCGACUUGCUGGGGCACUUCUGACUCUGAGGCGCGAAAGCGUGGGGAGCAAAAAGGAUUAGAUACCCUUGUAGUCCACGCCCUAAACGAUGUUCACUAGCUGUCGGGAGUAUCGACCCUCUCGGUGGCGAAGCUAACGCGUUAAGUGAACCGCCUGGGAAGUACGGCCGCAAGGCUAAAACUCAAAGGAAUAGACGGGGACUCGCACAAGCGGUGGAGCAUGAGGUUUAAUUCGACGGUAAGCGAAGCACCUCACCAGGGCUCGAAACCCUAACGACGCUCUGGCGAAAGUCAGAGCUUCCCAAGUUUACUUGGGACGGUAGGGCAGGUGCUGCACGGUUGUCGUCAGCUCGUGGCUUGAGUUGUUCCCUUAAGUGGGGUAACGAGCGCAACCCCUGUCGCCUGUUACAAGUGUCAGGCGAGACUGCCCCCCUCUAAGCCCGCAAGAGUUUAGUAAUCUUUUGUUGGUUUAGAGGGGGGAGGAAGGAGGGGAUGACGUCAAAUCAGCGUGGCCCUUUGAUGCCCUGGGCGACACUCAUGCUACAAUGGCAGGUACAAUGGGUUGCCAAGCCGUGAGGCGGAGCCAAUCCCAUCAAAACCUGCCCCAGUUCGGAUUGGAGUCUGCAACUCGACUCCAUGAAGCCGGAAUCGCUAGUAAUCGCGGAUCAGCACGCCGCGGUGAAUACGUUCUCGAGUCUUGUACUCACCGCCCGUCACUGCAGGGGAGCCGGGAGUACCUGAAGCUUCGCUUUAAGCGGAGUCAGGGUAAGCUCGGUGACACGGCAGAAGUCGUAACAAGGCACGUGUAGCGGAAGCUGUGCGUGAAACAACUAAU
rnacentral:rRNA from 1 species